AGAGAAAGAGAAAGAAAAAGAGAAAGAAAGAGAGAGAGAGAAAGAAAGGAAAGAAACACCUUUUGGAGGUGAGACCACACCGCUAGUAGCUACCUGCUCCUAGUGACCCACAGGGAAUCCUUCACCAACUUGAUCCUUAGUUUCUUCAUUUGUAAAAUAGGGAGAAUGAGAGUGUCUACCUUUCAGGGUUACUGUUAAAGUUCAGAAGGAAUAAGCAAGGGCAAGUUAUCUGCAACCAAAGUGUGCCAUGCCCACAGGGAAAUCAGAUAGCAAAGUUGCCUGUAGGUCACACAUGUCUAUCUUUUGGGGUGCAUGCAAGCAGGCAGGUGGCUAGGUCACAUGCUGAAAAGGCCUUAGAUAAAGUGUGUGCUCCCUACAAAAAAGGGGGAUCUGGCAGACUUUCCAUCUGUUCCAAGUGCCCAGCACAAAGCAAAGGUAUAUCUCCUAGGUUUUCAAGACUAAUUUGCCUAACUGGGCACAUACUACACCCAGGCUUGGUGUUGUGUGAAGAGGCUGCUUGCUUUACAGAUCUGCCUUCUUUACUCCUCCCAUAGUCCUGUAUGACGGGUAUUUGCUAUGCUUUGAAUGUAUCCCCAACAAUUCAUGUGUUGGAAACUUGAACCCCAAUGCAACAGUGUUGGGAGUGAGGCCUAGCAAGAGGUGAUUAGUUUAUGAGAACCCUGCCCUCAAUGUCAUUGUCAUGGGAAUGAAUUAGUUAUCAAGAGAGUGGGCUUGUUAUUAAAGCACGUUCAGCCCCCUCUUGCUCUCUUGCUCUGUGUAUACUUGCUUGCUGUUUCACCCUCUACCUUGGGAUGGUACAGCACAAAGGCCCUUCCCAGAUGCUGGCACCAUGCUCUUGGAUAUCCCAGCCUCCGGAAUCAUGAGCCAAAUAAACUUCUAUUGUUUAUAAAUUACCCGGUCUGUGGUAUUCUGUUAUAGCAGCAGAAAACAGACUACAACAGUAUUAUUCCCAUUUUCCAGAGAGAGGACCUGAGGCUCCAUUAGGUUGAGUUAAAGCCAAACGUCAUUAAAUCAUUAGGAGACAGAGCCUACUAGCGGCUGCUAGUUCCCACGUAUUCACCCAUAACUACUGCACAAAGAUGCCUCAGAAUAAGAAGAGGACAUGUUCUUGACUUUGAGGACAUUGAGGAGCAGGAAGAAAAUAGAUACAAAAAUGAGCAAGAUGUUGUGUACAUGAUGCUGUAGGAGUGGGACAGGAGUGCAGUGUCGAACCUGUUCAACUGUCCAUGCUAUAUAGUAGUCCCACAAGGUGAAGGACAUAUUAUACUUGAGAGAGAGAGGUGGGAGGAAUAUGACAAGCCAUGCUGAGAUCAUGUGCUUAUCCCUGGAUGGUUGGGGCAGUUGAACCUUGAGUGCCAAUGUCCUGAAGGCCACAGGGGGAAUGGAGAAGGAGCAAUUACUCAAAGGAAAAGUGAGAGUUCCAUUACCAGAAGAAAAGGGUGAAUGAUGGCUAGGCUGAACCAACCAACGUAUUCUCCCCGUUUUCAGCUGACUAAUUCAGGCCUCGUCCCCUGGUGCCUUUCUUGUAUACCCGGCUCUCUUAGCAUCUGCCAGUUCCAUAACACUUAGCUAAUGCCUUGUGCAUAUUGUCUGUUAUCACUAGACUAUGAAUUCCCUGAGGGCAAGAAUUAGGAUUUUCAUCUUUGAAUCUCCAGGACCAUAGUUCAAUAAACGUUUAAUAUGGCAAGAUGAACUUUGUCUUAUGAAAAAUGACAAUUUUCAGAGCAGGGCAAUGGCAGGAUCUGAUUUGUGCUCUGGAAAGAUUUAUCUGAUCACAAUAUGGGGGCUAAAUUAGUGGGGAAAGCAAAUUGAGACAGGAAGACAAAUAUGGAGACUAUAGGAGCCACCAUCAUAAGAGAUGAGGAACCAUGACAAUGGUAGGGUGGAAAUAUGUAAAUAUCAGUAUCUUCCUAUGUUGGCCCAGCCAACAUAGGAACAUUAAUUAACAUUAAUUGAUUAUUAAGGAGGAAUGUCUUUGCUAAGCACGAUACUGUAUGGACAUGGUAACAACUCAGUGUCACAGCAGAGCUUACAAUAAAAAGCAGCCACCUCAGCCCCACUGUCCACACACAGGCUCACUUCUGCAGGCAGCCUCUUUCUAUCAUUUGUCUCUACUUCUUCUGCUGUUUAUUUCACCCUUUAUUUUCUCUUUUUGUUGUUUGAUGGUUCAUCUAUAUGUGCUGGGCUUCCUCAUUCAGGUGGCCGCUUCUCCCUGCCCGCACUGUGAGUCCUGCACUCAGAUUCCCAAAUAAAUCCUGGGGCCUGAUGUAGGCACUGAGGAUGCAGGAUGCAGCAAUGAACGAAUGGGCCAGGCAUCAUGAAGUCUACAUCCAAGCGGUGCAUGCAGAAAGGAAACAGUGACUACGUAGGAUCAUGCCAGGACGUGAUGCAUGUAUCGAAUGAAGGGUAAGUAGUGAAUGUCAGCUUGGUCUUCCAUGGUGUGCUGGAGGGCCUUUCUGGGUUUGAGAACAGCACAGCCUCUUGUCCCCUAGACCUGUCUUCUUGAUGGGGAAAGUUCUGAGACUGGACAAGGUGAGCAGAGAGGACGGCCUGGUGGAGUGUGAGGAGGGGAGAGCAUUCACCACAGCCCCUGGGCCAGCCUCACCCACCCUUCCUAGAGGACAGCACAAUGAGGGGACAGAGGCCAGCAGCUGGCCAUGGCAGGCUGAGUCCAAGGCUGAUUGAUUCUGGGUGCCUCGUCUUCUCUGAUAAGUGGUAGCUUGGGACCAGAAUUAAAUUUAUUUGAAACACGUAAAGGAAAAUGAUGCUUUCCCACUGCAAUCUGGACAGGCAGAUUCACACCUGAUACCUAUACCUGCUUCUCUAUGAAGGCAGCAGCAAGUAUUGCCAAACAGAGGUAAGGAGCAUGAUACAUGCUCUCCCUCCCUUUCCACAGACCCCGGUGAGGAAAGCUGGUCACGUCUACUGUCAGGCAAAUAGCCCAGAAGCUUUUGAGUGAGCUGAGGGCUGACACUCACCCAACAGUAACACAGACACCCUCAGGCAAGGCGUCCAGGGCAGGGUGAUGGCCGUCUCAUCAGUCAGGCUCCCCGGGAGGACCACAGAACACCUUCUCCACUCUGAGGCCACACAGCCUAUGUCCAGGUUCAGUGCCUUUCCCUCCCUCACAGAGGCCUUUCUCCAGGGCAUGGAGCUCUCAGGGAGUGCAGGUGAGGGCCCAGACCCCAGCAGCACACCUGGGGCAAUGGUAUCUUAAGCUGCAUUUCUGUGGCUGACUCUAAGUUUGACAGAAUGGUUUCAAGGUAUUCAGAAUAGGGGAGUUACAAGGAGACCCAGUGAAUGAGGCCGUGAUGUUUGUCAAAUACUCCCUGGCACACAACGCAGAAAGCAAAUGUAGAAACUGCUCCAAAGUGAUGCCUCCCAGGGGUUGAGGCUUUUCUGGGCUCUCUGUGGUGCUCAGUGCUGAUGCUGCUUCCCAAAAGCUCUGAGCGCUUCAGUGCCCCCCGCAGGCCUCUGGGUACCUGGGACACUGAAGGCCUCUGGUACUUGAUUAUGCCCAGGGUCCUGGUGUCAUAAAGAGCUCCCUGAGCAUGGUUGCUUCUCUGAUUUCCCAGCACCCAUUCCCCCUCCCUAACAGCACGACUCUGUUUUGCAGAAUCUUCUUUCCCUCUCCCUGCUCCCAUCCAGCAGGUCUUUGACUUCCAAGCUGGGCCAAGGGAUGAGCUGCUGGGAGAUACGACCCUCAGUCCAGAGAGUCAAGUUGCUAGAAUAUGGCUGUACGGCAAUGCUGAGACAUCACGCUGAGCGAGAGUGGACAUCCUCAUUUUAUUCCUACCCUUACCGUGGAUCUCUCCUGUGCUUCACCACUCAGUAUAAUGCUGGCUGAGCUCUUCUGACAAAUACCUUCCAAGAUGUGAGGAAAACACACGCCCCACAGAGGCAUCCUUUCAGAAAUGGCAAGCGCCGCCCCUCAGGAUGGGGAGUGUACUGAGGCGGAGGUAUUAUGACGCAUUGCCCAGGAACUGAUUACAGCCUUUCUGAAAAUAUCAGAACAAACCAAAGUACUUUUUUUCUCUCACUCAACAACAAUCAACACAGAAGACUUCUGUGACCAAAUGUGUGGGUUUUCUCCCCACCACAAGCAAGAAGGCAGUUCUACAUCGGACAAUUCCAACAUCGACACCUUCUACCUGGAGGUGGCCUCACACCCCACAAGCCCAAGCCUCAUGUCCCAAGCCUGCCCUCCACUUCCAAUGCCAAUGGCAAGGUGGUCUUACCUGUGCUUCUGACCCACUGGCGUUCCCACGAAUCAAUGUUCCCAGGACGCCUCCUAACACUUGAAUAAUUCGCUAGAGCAGCUCACAGAGCUCAGGGAAAGGCCUACUUACAUUUACUAUAAAGGAUGUUACAGAGGAGAGAGACACAGAGAUGCCUGGGGCAAGACAUAUGAGGAGGGCGAGAAGCUUCCAUGCCCUCCUGGGGCUGUCGAACUAAAACGAAGAAGCUGAAAGUUUUGCUCCAAAUGCCAUUGUUUAUCCAUUUUUGACCACCUGAUCUGUUCCAUUAGCUUCAAAAGAUGCCUUUUCAUUUGUUUCGUUUUGCCUUCGAUGGCCUUCCGCCUGCCGCAAGCAACCCUCUAGAAUAUGGGCCUGUGCUUGGCUUUUCUACACAAACAUGAGCAGCCUUCAAUUACUGGGGGACAUUCAUUUCCUCCUUCCAACUAGAGAGCGAGGAGUGUCCCGGGGAGAGUGGGUCCUUGAGCUCCUCUGGGCCUUGCUUGGGACUUGGUCCAGGAGGUUAUGGGAAGAAACUGGUUUAGAAGCUGACCUCAUGGGUUCGCUAUUCUUAUGUAACACUUAGGAAGAGCAGAGACCCACGCGAUUCAGUCCCAGAGCAAUGUUGCGGUCAAGAGAACACAGUCCAGCUACCAACAGUUAUUUCAAAAUAAUUCAAGCUCUUUGUUUAUAUU